rnacentral:lncRNA from 1 species
AUGGAGGAAAACCUGCAAGUCGCAAUUAAGCAUGUGAAGAGCGAAGCUGCGGAUGAGAGCUCAUCUGCGCUGGUUCUGGGCAGUCAGGACUCGCCUGCGCCCUGUGGAGAUACCGCAUGCAGAGGAGGAGGAGGAGGAGGAGGGGAUCAGACUGCAGAGGAGCUGCAAACAGUCACAACAAGCACUCCUGUGCUGCUGUACCCCGUGAGCACCGAACGCUACUUUACAACAUCUGGAGACGAGAAGACUUACCUGAAGAUAGCUCCAGCUUCAGCGGUGACCUCAGCUCACGCAGAGAUGGUGCUUCCCUCUGGCCCAGACUUCUCCUCCAAGGUUGUUCUGUGUCUCAUCGAGGCUGUCGGGCGCCGCUGGGGUCUGUACAAGACACGGGAGCGCUCGCAGCUCUUCCAGAGCGUCCAGGAAGAGCUGGCCUCCAAAGGGUACAUGCUUCCUGUGGAGAAGAUCCGUCGCAAGUGGAACAACCUCAUUGUCACGUACAAGAGAGUUAAAGAUCGCAGCCGUGAGACAGGCCAUACCAAAACGUCCUGGGAGUUCUUUGAUUUGAUGGACGCCACUCUCAGUGACACGGUCGGCUCCCAGAACCUCAAUGUCAAAAAAAACAAAAGUGGAACUUCUGUUUCUUCUCUGUCUGGUCCUUUGGUCAAGAAACCACCGACUCCGCAGUCCCCCUCCUUCGUCCGUCAUAAUGGGGACUUCACGUCAGUGGGGGUCUUGCAGACAGGCGGUCAGGGGACCUGCGGCGGUCUUGCAGUCAGCACCACUGCUGCUGUUGCCUCUGUGAACUCCACAAAGCCUUCAGAAAUAAAGCCCCUGGUGGUCCUCAGCGGUGACGUCACAACCACGAUUCAUCCUGCCACCAUUGUGCAAUCGCCGUCCUUAAUCUCCGAGCCCUCUUUUACAGACUCGGUUUCCACUUUGCUCAGUUUGUCCAGCAACCCUGACCUCAACACGUCACGCUACGUUGGGCGCAAAAUCCCAUCCUUCUCCUCCGGAGUCAUCCCUUUUCACCUCAGCAACACGCUGAAUUCUUCGAGCAUCUCGUCAUCUUUUCCAACAACUUGCUCGAGUCUCUCUACUACCUUCUCCACCUCACCGUCAACCACCGUUGCCUCUGGAGAGAUCCAGAAACAAAACGAAUGGCAAUCCAACGCCAUGUUGUUACAGGAGAUUAUCCAGCGACAUGAGGAGGAGGCCUACAUUGAUCGGGUGGCUCGCCGUCGGACAGAAGCCAGAGAGAAGAGGCGCGAAAGGAGGGAAGUGCGAAUGGCAGAGUCCCUCGGCAGGAUAGCCACGGCCCUGGAGCUGCUCUCGUCCAAACAGGACACAAUCAUCGCCCUGCUGCAGAGACUGGCCGAUCGCAAGUGAUAGGCAGACGUAGAUGUCAAAGGGGGGACAAUUCUCUGUUCAACGUGAAAUCAUUCUUCAAGAUGAACAUAUAUACAAUUCAAUUCUAGAUCUGGCAUUUGGUUUACUGCUACUUUUCAUAGAGUUGCAAUAAAAUGGUCCUGACACCUUUACUUUAUGCUUUUAAAUGACUAAGACAAAUGUUCAGUGAGCAAGAGCUCAAUCAUCAACACGCUCCCUUUACAGGAUUGACAACAAAAGACCAUUAAAUGUGAUUUAUUUGAAAGGGUUGGUCUGUGCAUUUUGAUAAAGCCAUUUUUUCUAUAAUCUUCAUUCGAACCUCAAUCGCUCAAUCUUUAUUUAUACAGCGUCUCAUACAAUCAAAAUUGUUUCUAGGCGCUUUCCAGAAUCCCAGGGCCUGACCCCCAACAAGCAACAGUGGCAAGGAAAAACUCCCCUUUAACAGGAGGAAACCUUGAGCAGGACCAGGCUCAUGUAGGGGAACCUUCCUGCUGAUGGGGGACUGGGUAGAGAGAGAGGAGAAGAGGGGACGACAGGUAGAGGAUAGAAUAGGUAGAGAUCAUAGAGAUACAUUGUAUUAAUUAAAACAAGCUGCCGGUAGAGUUUAGUUUUCAUCGAAUGCUCAAUGCUUAUUUUGAAAAUGUCUUUCAAUGUUCCAUUUUCUGUUGUUCGAUAGUCUCUUGCCACAUAUCAAGCACACAGGUGAACCAGCGUGUUGGAGGUGAAGGCAAAUGAGGAUGUUUAUCCUGAAUUAAGAUCUCUAGUUCCUCCCGAGACUUU